rnacentral:rRNA from 1 species
UACGUAGGGUGCGAGCGUUGUCCGGAAUUAUUGGGCGUAAAGAGCUCGUAGGCGGUGUGUCACGUCGUUCGUGAAAACCUGCAGCUUAACUGUGGGCGUGCGGUCGAUACGGGCAUCACUGGAGUUCGGCAGGGGAGACUGGAAUUCCUGGUGUAGCGGUGAAAUGCGCAGAUAUCGGAAGGAACACCAGUGGCGAAAGCGGCUUCCUGGUCCAGCACUGACGUUCAGGCACGAAAGCGUGGGGAGCAAACAGG